ACUGUAUAAUUAAAACAAAGCAUUGCGACGGCCGGCGAUCAGUGUUGACGCAAUGUGGUUUCUGCACAGUGGUCUGAAUGUCAAAGUGAAGAAAUUCAACCAAGCGCGGGUAAACGGAACGAUUUGGCUAAUUAU
rnacentral:ncRNA from 1 species